AGCAAUCUGAGAGGAGUCUGGCCGUAAACACGGAUUCUCUGUCUCAGUCUGCAGUAUAAGGAGUUGUCUUCAAGCUAUUUAAUAGGAGAUGUUUUAGUGCUGGUAGUUAAGUGUUGGAGAGUUAUGGGUUUGCAAAGAGGUGUUGCAUGAGAACGGAAAAACGUCGUGGCCGCGGAAAGCAGAGCAGCGUGGACGAGACUGACAGACACAGAAUGUUACACCACCGCAAAAUUGACUCAAGAGAACAAUGGAUUCCAGCAAAAGACGAAGCAGUUAGACCCAAACCCAAGUGAAAGACAACGUAAAGAAGAUAAAAAUAAGCCAGACACAUUGGAAGAGCCACAAGUUAAUAAACAGGCAUUCUUUGUAGAAUAAUAGUUGAAAUCAGCUUGUUUUGACUGUACCACAGUUGAACAUUUUCCAUUUUAUGGGUUAAACAUCUGCAACAAUCUUUUUUCAUUGUGGUUGUGUUGUAUGGUAUUCAUGGAAACCACACGCAAAGAAAGAAACUAGACUUUGGCAGGUUUCUCCUCAAAAUACAAUAAAGCUCAUCACAGUCACAGCACACUUUGUCCCCCUGAACCUGUUUUGCUGCCCCAUAGAAAAAUGUUGCUUAUGAAAUG
ensembl:lncRNA